UACGAAGGGGGCUAGCGUUGCUCGGAAUCACUGGGCGUAAAGGGUGCGUAGGCGGGUCUUUAAGUCAGGGGUGAAAUCCUGGAGCUCAACUCCAGAACUGCCUUUGAUACUGAAGAUCUUGAGUUCGGGAGAGGUGAGUGGAACUGCGAGUGUAGAGGUGAAAUUCGUAGAUAUCGCAAGAACACCAGUGGCGAAGGCGGAGCUCACCUGGCCCGAGU
rnacentral:rRNA from 1 species